GGAAGGUAGGGCGCAGCGGUGCGCAACCAGGUUUGAACCCUGGCCCAUUGUAGCGAUACGGUGAUGGUUCGACUCCAUUAUCUUCCUCCA
rnacentral:tRNA from 11 species